rnacentral:tRNA from 1 species
GUGCUUGAGGUGUAAAUGGUCGCACGACACCUUGCCAAGGUGUAGGAAGCCGGUUCGAUCCCGGUCAGGCACU